GACGAACGCUGGCGGCGUGCCUAAUACAUGCAAGUUGAGCGCUGAAGGUUGGUACUUGUACCAACUGGAUGAGCAGCGAACGGGUGAGUAACGCGUGGGGAAUCUGCCUUUGAGCGGGGGACAACAUUUGGAAACGAAUGCUAAUACCGCAUAAAAACUUUAAACACAAGUUUUAAGUUUGAAAGAUGCAAUUGCAUCACUUAAAGAUGAUCCCGCGUUGUAUUAGCUAGUUGGUGAGGUAAAGGCUCACCAAGGCGAUGAUACAUAGCCGACCUGAGAGGGUGUUCGGCCACAUUGGAACUGAGACACGGCCCAAACUCCUACGGGAGGCACCAGUAGGGAAUCUUCGGCAAUGGCCGAAAGCCUGACGGAGCAACGCCGCGUGAGUGAGGAAGGUUUUCGGAUCGUAAAACUCUUUUGUUAGGGAAGAACGUAGGUGGAAGUGAAAGGCCCUUAAGUGACGGUAACUAACCAGAAAGGGACGGCUAACUACGUG
rnacentral:rRNA from 1 species